GAGGGGUGCAAGCGUUGCUCGGAAUUAUUGGGCGUAAAGGGUAGGUAGGUGGUCUUAUUUGUCUGGGGUGAAAAGCCUUGAGCUUAACUCAAGAAGUGCCCCAGAAACGGUAAGACUCGAGUCCUGGAGAGGGUCGUGGAAAUUCCUGGUGUAGCGGUGAAAUGCGUAGAGAUCGGGAGGAACACCAGAGGCGAAAGCGGCGACCUGGACAGGCACUGACACUCAACUACGAAAGCGUGGGGAGCAAACAGGAUUAGAUACCCUGGUAGUCCACGCCGUAAACGAUGGGUACUAGGUUUGGCGGGUCUUGACCCCUGCUGAACCGGCGCUAACGCACUAAGUACCCCGCCUGGGAAGUACGGUCGCAAGACUA
rnacentral:rRNA from 1 species